GGGCUCAUGGUCUAGCUGGUUACGCUGCCCGGGGGAACAUGGAGAAGAUCUCCAGUUCAAAUCUGGAUGGGCCCA
rnacentral:tRNA from 1 species